GCAAGGCCUGUUGUGAGCACAAUCCACCGGGUCAGAUAUGGAGAAGGAUGGUUGAUCGAGGAGAGGAGAGGAGAGGGGCAGGAUGAAGUUGGGGAAUGGUUCUCAGGGAGCAGAGGUAGAGUUUGAGAUGAGUUUUGGCAUCGAAGGGUGGAAAGGGCAGUUUUAGGAACAAGGAGUGUGGUCGGUCUGAGAGUUUUGUCUUUUUUAGUGGUCACAGUCUUCCUUUUUUAUCUCUGCUUUUGGACGUUUUGUAGGUAGCUUUUUUGUAUUGGUUAAAGUGAAAGGGUACUAUUUGGUAAUACAGUGGCGUUGAGUCAAAAGUCUUCCAGAUUCAGACCUUGAAGACUUUUUAGUCCUUAGCUUCCAUGAUAGGCAGCACCAUGUGAGCAAAAUCAGGCGUCAAAGCAGUUGUUAGAUGUUUUCUUUAAGUUUUUUACGAUCGAGCCUGACACCUCUGUCAGGUGAGGGGAAGCUGAGGUGUGAUACAGGAAAGAAUCAGGAAAUUGUCAUCACAGUUUAAUCAAAGUAGAAGGGCUACUUUCUAAUGGCCAUUUGGUUCAGAUCUGGUUGACAUAGCAGCGAGUAGAUAUAUGAAGGAAGUCACCACCAGACAGUGUAGCAGAGGCUGGCUGAACCCAAUGAAGCCUCAAGCUCUACUGAAGCUGCUCACACCAAGAGGAGACGCAACAGAAUUAUAUAAAGGACAACAGGUGAAAGGCCUUUUCCCUCUCCUUCAGCUCAGACACAUGCACAGUUGGUAUUACUCUCAGUGCCGAUGAUCAGCUCUCAGGGACUUCUUGAAAAAUUCCUGUCCUGCUCCAAUGGCUGACAGUCAAGGAGGAUUGACAGACCACAGCUGUCACCCAUUAUAGCAACCGCACGACUCUCAAAAAAGAAGAGGGGAGGGGAGGGAUGUGGAGCUGUCACUGAGUGAAGGUUUGCUCUUGUAGGCUGGAUUUGGAAGUAAAUGGGGCAAUGUCACCGGCUGUCAGGUUUCCCAAACCUCUAAAUAGGAACUAUCUGCUUGGUAAGGCUGAAGAGGACAUGACGGCCUGACCACUCGCAGAAGAUGUCCACCUUCUAUUUCCUCUCUUUCUCCUCUUUCAUUUCCUUCUGUUUCUACGUCCUCUACUCUUAUCCUUCCCUCUCUCCUCUCCUCACCGCAUGCACUCCUCCUGCUCUCACUCGCUCUGCCUCUUGCAGUCGAAGCAACACGCCUUGCUGUGGCUGGUCAAACGGAACCAAGUCAGGUGUUUCUGUGAGGUUUGGUCCCCUUCAACCAGCUACUGCGUCGUGAAUUCAGUCAGCGUGGAAUCAAAGACACAGUGGCGUUGUGGUGUGUGCUGUAAACUAUGGAGGCGGUAGUCUAUUGACAAUGAUAUAUCAUUUAUUUUCUUCAGUAGUUUGGUGUUGGUUGUCUCCUGCAUGACAAUGGAUGUUUGAAAAAGCAAAUAAAAGAUUUCUGACAACA